rnacentral:rRNA from 1 species
UACGUAGGGGGCAAGCGUUGUCCGGAAUCAUUGGGCGUAAAGCGCGUGUAGGCGGGUCGGUAAGUCCGCUCUGAAAGCCCGGGGCUCAACCCCGGGAGGCGGGUGGAUACUGUCGACCUCGAGUCCGGAAGAGGCGAGUGGAAUUCCUGGCGUAGCGGUGAAAUGCGCAGAUAUCAGGAGGAACACCAAUGGCGAAGGCAGCUCGCUGGGACGGUACUGACGCUGAGACGCGAAAGCGUGGGGAGCAAACAGG